GCACGAAGAAAAGAGGAAGAGAGUGAGAGAGAAUGGCGAAGCAGCAACCGCAGAGUUCUUCGAGAGGAGAGAUGAGUGGAGGAAGUAUCCUAGGCUCAGCAAUCAGCUCCGCCAUACUUUUCCUGGAUUUGGCCUCGGAAUCGCCCCCUUCGGCGUCUACCUAGUCGAACCUUCCUCCUCCUCUUCAUCUGGGUCUGCUUUUAAUGGUGUACUUUUUGUUGGGUUUUUCAAGAAAUCUUCAAAAUAGAAAAAUACAAUUAGAAUCCUAUAGUCGGAACCCUAGCUUGGCUUUUGUCAUUGGCACUUGGCAGGUGGAAGUUUAUUUUGGAAGCCGCAGCAGGAGGAAUCAGCCAUGCCUGCAAAGUCAGCGGAUCAGACCUAUGAGUUCGUUUUAAGAAUACUAGGGAAACAGCCCAUGCUACCAUGCAGACCCUUUGGAAUACUGUAGGCAACAUGUCACUUACACAGACCCUUCUAGAACAUAAGGAGUGAAGAAAAAGGGAUAGUAAUGCAGUAAUGACAAUGGUGAUUAAUUGGUAAAGCCUUCUCAAAUUGUGCUUCAGUCUCGACUUAGCACCAGUGAACUGUUUAUGGCAAUAGAUCCGAAUAUGAAGCAGCUAUUGUAUUAUGAGGACAAGGCAGACCAUUCAAAAGGACACAUAUCUAGAGAAGUUGUUGCUUGUUGAAAACACUUUGAUAUCUCUGCACAACGACAAAUAGGUUAAUUCCUCAAAUCUCUCCAUCAAAAGUAAUUUGGUUGUUUUUAGGUUGCUUAUUACUAUGGUAUGGAAAUGUGGUAAUUUUCAAUCUUCAGGUAUUUUUUCUGCCAUUAUUAUUAUUAUUAUUAUUUUUUCACCUUCUAUUUUUGAUAAGUACAUAUGAGUGGAAUGAAAAAGGUAUUGGUACAUGAUGUGCAUUGUUCAGUUUAGCUGCUUAUGUUAUAUUGAUAAGUUGUGGUUGAAAUUCUAAGCGGAUAAACACAAUAUUUCUUUAUCCUUCUAGUAUGAUGCAAAUAAUGGGUAAUUUUUCUUUUUCACCAAUUUGGAUUGUAUAUUAAGUUAAUUGUUUAUUCAUUUUCCUUUUCACUACUUUCUUUCUUGUAGUCAUGACUCAUGGAAAAGCUGUUUAGUUUUUGGCACCUCUGUCUUAUACUGGUUCCUAUUUUGUCAUAUCCGCUGUUUUACUUUUAAUUUUCUAUACCUUGUGAUAAGCAAUAGUUCUACAAAACUACCAUCUCUUCUUUAAAGCCCAUUUGAUUGGUGGACCUAUAAGGUAUAUUAUUAGGUUCAUUGGAAUAUAAUAAUGGAAGCUGUAUUGAGUUGGGACAUAUGAGGGUCCUAUGCUGUUAUUGGAAGAUAGGAAAUUCCUUUUUGUUCACUUCCUUCCUUUUACUAUGGUUUUAUGCACCAAAAUGUCUUUUAGAGUUAAGAUAUUUGUAUGCAUGAUAGACAUGGAGAUUUUUUCCAUGGGCAUGUCAUUUCUUAUUUUGAUUGAAUCUUGAAUCUAUGCUUACAAAGUUUCUCAUUUGUAGGAUUGCUACGUUGACAUCUGCUCCCCAGAGGUUCUCAGCCUUUUUACUGACAAAGUUGUUAUGGGAUAUCAUUUUUAUAAUUGUUUGAAGAGUUGAGAAUUUUCUCAUGUACUCAUAGCUUUGUGAAUGGUAUCAUUUAUGUUAAAUAUUCACAUAAAAGAGAGUAUCAAGUAAUUUGACUUUAAGUCUGCGAGAAUCCUUAUAUAAACAUUUCUUUGUUACUUACGUUAAACUAAUAUUUAUUUCUGUUGAUAUUAAUAAAUGCAACUAAAACAGUAGAAAAGCUCUUAUCAGAUAGUUGCACCUUAUUGGUGCUUAUUACUGAAGAAUAGCUUCACCUCUCUGUCUCUCUCUCUCUAAGAGAAAGGAGCUUUCACCUAUUUUCAUGGAAAUGACCAAAUAGAUGUGCACAAUUUAAAGUACAACAUAAUCUUCAGUUUUAGAGUACAACAUAUCACCAUCUCUAAUUUCUACUGUGCUUCUCAAUUGCAUUUAUACAUAAGCUUCUUUGAGUAUCCUGUAUGGCUUUUAAAUUAUUAUAUAAUGGAAUGAAAAUUAGUGUGAUUCUUGAGGGAAAUACCAAAAUGUGAAUGGUUGCAUGCUAACGUUACUGAAUUCCUACUACUUUGUUCAAGCUACAAAAAUUCUUUCUCUUACAUCUAUUUGGCUUUUAUAUGCUGCCAUGGAGAUAACAUGUUUUUUCAUUGGUAUGGCAGAUAACUAGACUUGCUUUCUCCUCAAUCGAUUCAGACUAUAUCUAUGUGGAAGGGGUUGAUUACGAGGUGAAUUAUUUAAAGGUUGAUUAAGAGGGUUCCAGUGCAACAUGAUUUUCAUGGCUCUAUGAACUCUAGCUUUCAAUUCAAUAGCAAGGAUUAGGUCAUUUUUGAAAUUGUACUCUAAUAUGAGCUACUUGAAUCAUCUAUAGCCCUUGUAACAUUCAAAUACUUGCAAUUUUUUUUUUCUUUUUCAUGUUUCUUAAUGGAAAAUUUAUUUUCUUCAUUGUCGGUUGGAGGAGCAAGACCAUAU